GUCCAUGCCUUAAACGAUGUAUACUAGGAGUAGGAGGGCUCAACCCCCCCUGUUCCGGAGCUAACGCAUUAAGUAUACCGCCUGGGGAGUACGCUCGCAAGGGUGAAACUCAAAAGAAUUGACGGGGGCCCGCACAAGCAGUGGAGCAUGUGGUUUAAUUCGAUGCAACGCGAAGAACCUUACCUGGGCUCGAAAUGUAGAGGACGACGUCAGAGAUGACGUUUCUCGAAAGGGUCUCUAUAUAGGUGCUGCAUGGCUGUCGU
rnacentral:rRNA from 1 species